rnacentral:rRNA from 1 species
AGAGUUUGAUCCUGGCUCAGGAUGAACGCUAGCGACAGGCUUAACACAUGCAAGUCGAGGGGCAGCGGAGGCGAGUGCUUGCACUUGCCAGACGGCGACCGGCGCACGGGUGAGUAACACGUAUGCGACCUGCCCGUAGCAGGGGGAUAAGCGGAAGAAAUUCCGUCUAAUACCGCGUAAUAUCUUUCGGGGGCAUCCCUGAGGGAUUAAAGGAAGUGAUUCCGGCUACGGAUGGGCAUGCGGCGCAUUAGCUAGUCGGCGGGGUAACGGCCCACCGAGGCGACGAUGCGUAGGGGUUCUGAGAGGAAGGUCCCCCACACUGGUACUGAGACACGGACCAGACUCCUACGGGAGGCAGCAGUGAGGAAUAUUGGUCAAUGGGCGAGAGCCUGAACCAGCCAAGUCGCGUGAGGGAAGACGGUCCUAUGGAUUGUAAACCUCUUUUGUCGGGGAGCAAAAAGGCCUCGUGAGGCCACAAGUGAGAGUACCCGAAGAAAAAGCAUCGGCUAACUCCGUGCCAGCAGCCGCGGUAAUACGGAGGAUGCGAGCGUUAUCCGGAUUUAUUGGGUUUAAAGGGUGCGUAGGCGGACUGGAAAGUCAGCGGUAAAAUCGAGAGGCUCAACCUCUUUCCGCCGUUGAAACUGUCGGUCUUGAGUGGGCGAGAAGUAUGCGGAAUGCGUGGUGUAGCGGUGAAAUGCAUAGAUAUCACGCAGAACUCCGAUUGCGAAGGCAGCAUACCGGCGCCCGACUGACGCUGAGGCACGAAAGCGUGGGUAUCGAACAGGAUUAGAUACCCUGGUAGUCCACGCAGUAAACGAUGAAUACUAAUUGUCCCGUCAGAAUGAUGGACUGGUGGAUACAGCGAAAGCGUUAAGUAUUCCACCUGGGGAGUACGCGGGCAACGGUGAAACUCAAAGGAAUUGACGGGGGGCCCGCACAAGCGGAGGAACAUGUGGUUUAAUUCGAUGAUACGCGAGGAACCUUACUCGGGCUCAAACGUAGAAUGACAGACGGUGAAAGCCGUUCUCCCUUCGGGGCAGUCUACGAGGUGCUGCAUGGUUGUCGUCAGCUCGUGCCGUGAGGUGUCGGCUUAAGUGCCAUAACGAGCGCAACCCCCAUCUACAGUUGCUAACAGGUAAAGCUGAGGACUCUGUGGAGACUGCCGGCGCAAGCUGUGAGGAAGGCGGGGAUGACGUCAAAUCAGCACGGCCCUUACGUCCGGGGCGACACACGUGUUACAAUGGCAGGUACAGCGGGAAGCCAUAUGGCGACAUAGAGCGGAACCCGAAAACCUGUCUCAGUUCGGAUUGGAGUCUGCAACUCGACUCCAUGAAGCUGGAUUCGCUAGUAAUCGCGCAUCAGCCACGGCGCGGUGAAUACGUUCCCGGGCCUUGCACACACCGCCCGUCA